rnacentral:rRNA from 1 species
UAGGGAAUCUUCGGCAAUGGACGAAAGUCUGACCGAGCAACGCCGCGUGAGUGAAGAAGGUUUUCGGAUCGUAAAACUCUGUUGUUAGAGAAGAACAAGGACGUUAGUAACUGAACGUCCCCUGACGGUAUCUAACCAGAAAGCCACGGCUAACUACGUGCCAGCAGCCGCGGUAAUACGUAGGUGGCAAGCGUUGUCCGGAUUUAUUGGGCGUAAAGCGAGCGCAGGCGGUUUCUUAAGUCUGAUGUGAAAGCCCCCGGCUCAACCGGGGAGGGUCAUUGGAAACUGGGAGACUUGAGUGAAGAAGAGGAGAGUGGAAUUCCAUGUGUAGCGGUGAAAUGCGUAGAUAUAUGGAGGAAAACCAGUGGCGAAGGAGGCUCUCUGGUCUGUAACUGACGCUGAGGCUCGAAAGCGUGGGGAGCAAACAGG